CCUACGGGGAGCAGCAGUCGAGAAUCAUUCACAAUGGGGGAAACCCUGAUGGAGCGACGCCGCGUGGGGGAAUGAAGGUCUGCGGAUUGUAAACCCCUGUCAUGUGGGAGCAAAUGAAAAAGAUAGUACCACAAGAGGAAGAGACGGCUAACUCUGUGCCAGCAGCCGCGGUAAUACAGAGGGCUCAAGCGUUGUUCGGAAUCACUGGGCGGAAAGGGUGCGUAGGCUGUAUCGUAAGUCGGGAGUGAAAGGUGCGGGCUCAACCCGCGGACGGCACGUGAUACUGCGAGAGGAGAGUAAUGGAGGGGUAACCGGAAUUCUCGGUGUAGCGGUGAAAUGCGUAGAUAUCGGGAGGAACACUCGUGGCGAAGGCGGGUUCCUGGACAGUAACUGACGCUGAGGCACGAAGGCCCGGGGAGCGAAAAGGAUUAGAUACCCCGGUAGUC
rnacentral:rRNA from 1 species